UUGUUUGGGCGAGACUUCCGGCGCGUCACUUCCUGUUACUGGGUAGCUUGCUGAAAAGCAGCUUAUGCAGCUACUUCGUCUCAAAUUAAUCGUCAUUAUGACUUUGAGGAAGACCGGGAUCAUUUGUCCGGUUAGAGGCUGUAAUAAUAACGGGUGUAAAAGAAAGGUUUACGUGGAGCAGAAGUGUUUUAAUCAUCGACCGGGAACAACAGCUGCGGAGACGAGGCGCCCUACUUCCUUCACCCCCAGCCGAAGAAUGAGGAAUCCCUUCGCCUGUGGUUAAAAGCUUUAAAUCUGAAGAAACCACUGAAGCGACCGUAUGUUUGUUUUUUUCAUUUUGUGGACAAAAGACCGACAGAAGACCACACGAUGCCAGAAAAGUGUCUGGGCUACAAAGUUCCAUUAAAAAGAAAAUCAAGGAGACGUCAAGAGGAGGGGAGACAGGCUUGUGUUUGACAGAUGACAGCCGCUGUGAUGCAGAGGCUGACCAGACCGCUCCAUAAUCAGAGUCACCUAUGAAUAAAGAUGCUGACACUACAGCCAUCAAUGAUCACACCUAGGAGAAAAGAAGAAGAAGAAUGCAUGUGGCUGGGAAAACACCUGGAGUAUCUUCGUCCUGGCGAUGAAGUGAUGGCAGACAGAGGCUUUACCAUCAGAGAUCUGCUGUUUUGAGAGGAGAUUUAACCUUGUUCUACCAGCAUUCACCCAUAAAAGGAGAGCAGUCUGAUGAGGAUGUAACUGCCACAAAGAGGAUUGCAAAUGUCCACAUACAUGUGGAAAGAGUUAUCAGGAGGCUCAAAGUUUUCACAGUAAUCUCCCAGACUGUAACCAUGAAGUUGGUUUAUAAAAUAGACACAAUUUUUAGAAUCUGUGCAGCUCCUGUGAGCAUGCAGGAGAAAUCAUGAGGAAGCAGGGAAGUUUACAUGUCAAAAAGAUCCUGAUUAGUUAUAUUUUACUGUAAACCAGAGGAAUUAUAAUACACAAGAAUGUGUUUUGGAUUUCUGCUUUUAAAUAUUCAUUAUUUAGCACCUUGAGGUUUAACAUAUUGGAGUUACUUUUCAUUUUUAAUAACUUUAAGUAUUGUAUAUCCUUAUUUCCAGACUAUUUAAAUGUUUACUUAAACAAAAAUUGUGCCCAA